GACAGAGGGUGCAAACGUUUGUUCGGAAUUACUGGGCGUAAAGCGCGUGUAGGCGGCUAAGUAAGUCGGGCGUGAAAUCCCACGGCUCAACCGUGGAAGUGCACUCGAAACUGCAUAGCUAGAGUCCUGGAGAGGAAGGUGGAAUGCUUGGUGUAGAGGUGAAAUUCGUAGAUAUCAAGCGGAACACCGGUGGCGAAGGCGGCCUUCUGGACAGUGACUGACGCUGAGACGCGAAAAGCGGUGGGGAGCAAACAGGG
rnacentral:rRNA from 1 species